rnacentral:rRNA from 1 species
UCGAAGGUAGCAUAAUCAGUAGUUUUUUAAUUGAAAACUUGUAUGAAUGGUUUAACGAAAUAUUUUCUGUUUCAUAAAAAUUUUAAUAGAAAUUAAUUUUUUAGUAAAAAAGCUAAAAUUAUAUUUAAAGACGAGAAGACCCUAUAGAGUUUUAUAUUAAAUAUAUUAAUUUUUAUUUAUAAUAAUUAAAAUUUUAUUAUUUUUUAUAUUUUGUUGGGGUGAUAGUAAAAAUUAAUAAUCUUUUAUUAUUUUUUAACAUAGAUUUAUGAUUAGUUGAUCCAUUAUUAAUGAUUAAAGAUUAAAUUACCUUAGGGAUAACAGCGUAAUUUUUUUGUAGAGUUCUUAUCAAUAAAAAAUUUUGC